rfam:Ictidomys tridecemlineatus contig064761, whole genome shotgun sequence.
UGGGGUGUGGCUCAGUGGUAGAACGCUCGCAUAGCGCGUGCGAAGCCCUGGGUUCAAUCCUCAGCACCACAU